rnacentral:rRNA from 1 species
CAAACGACUCUCGGCAACGGAUAUCUCGGCUCUCACAUCACAGAAAA